UACGUAGGUGGCAAGCGUUGUCCGGAAUUAUUGGGCGUAAAGCGCGCGCAGGCGGUUUCUUAAGUCUGAUGUGAAAGCCCACGGCUCAACCGUGGAGGGUCAUUGGAAACUGGGGAACUUGAGUGCAGGAGAGAAGAGUGGAAUUCCACGUGUAGCGGUGAAAUGCGUAGAGAUGUGGAGGAACACCGACGGCGUAGGCAGCGCCCUAGACGAGACCUGACGCUCAGGCACGAAAGCGCGGGGAGCGAACAGG
rnacentral:rRNA from 1 species